rnacentral:rRNA from 1 species
CCUACGGGAGGCAGCAGUGAGGAAUAUUGGUCAAUGGACGGAAGUCUGAACCAGCCAUGCCGCGUGCAGGAAGACGGCUCUAUGAGUUGUAAACUGCUUUUGUACAAGGGUAAACCUGAAUACGUGUAUUCAGCUGAAAGUACUGUACGAAUAAGGAUCGGCUAACUCCGUGCCAGCAGCCGCGGUAAUACGGAGGAUCCACGCGUUAUCCGGAUUUAUUGGGUUUAAAUGGUGAGUAGGCGGAUUUAUAAGUUAGAGGGGAAAUGUCCGAGCUUAACUCGGGAACUGCCUCUAAUAAUGUUGAUCUAGAGAGUAUAUGCGGUAGGCGGAAUGUAUGGUGUAGCGGUGAAAUGCUGAGAGAUCAUACAGAACACCGAUUGCGAAGGCAGCUUACCAAUCUAUAUCUGACGUUGAGGCACGAAAGCGUGGGGAGCAAACAGGAUUAGAGACCCGAGUAGUC